AAUAUUGGACAAUGGGUGCAACCCUGAUCCAGCCAUGCCGCGCGUGUGAAGAUUGUCUUCGGAUUGUAAAUUACAUUAAGUUGGGUGGAAGGGCUUUAGGCUAAUACCCUGAAGUCUUGACGUUACCAACAGAAUAAGCACCGGCUAACACUGUGCCAGCAGCCGCGGUAAUACAGAGGGUGCAAGCGGUAAUCGGAAUUACUGGGCGUAAAGCGAGCGUAGGUGGUUCAGUAAGAUGGGUGUGAAAUCCCCGGGCUUAACCUGGGAACUGCUUUCAUAACUGCUGAGCUAGAGUACGGUAGAGGGUAGUGGAAUUUCCUGUGUAGCGGUGAAAUGCGUAGAUAUAGGAAGGAACACCAGUGGCGAAGGCGACUACCUGGACUGAUACUGACACUGAGGUGCGAAAGCGUGGGGAGCAAAC
rnacentral:rRNA from 1 species